rnacentral:rRNA from 1 species
AGCCAUGUCAGAUUGAAACACUGAUUCUCGAAUGAUCACUGAAGUUAAGCAACAUUGAGCCUGGUCAGUCCCUAGAUGGGUGACCGCUUGGAAAUAUCAGGUGCAGUAAG